UUUAUAUUCAGUCACGGACUUGAGAACCCUCUCUCCCUGGUCUUAGUUGUGGAAUACUAAAGGUUGUGCGUUGCUGCAGGAGGUCACCAAGGAGGUGAAGAGAGAGAUGAGGCUGGAACGAGGCUGGGUCACAAACUAGCAGGAGAAAGAGAAAAUGAAACGAGAGAGACAACAGAACAGACUGUGUCUCAAAAGGCCAGAAGAAAGAGAGGCAUUCCCCAACCAAGACAGAUUCACAAGACAAUCCGGAGAGCAUGGAAAACAUCCUGAUAUCAGUAUCAGAUCCUGACAACACCCAAGAAACUGAGGGCUCAGGGCUGGUUGACUCUGUCUCCUUCACCUUGGCAACCUGUGGCAGUCUGAUUGGACAAGCUGGCUCCCUUCAGUCCAUCACCCAGCAACUGUCUGAAAUAGAACCUGCAUAGGCCACAGUGUUCAGAGGAGAUUCACUGCUGAGUCUCAUUCCAAGCUCUUGCCAUGAAGCAAACUGAAAUGGGUGGAGCUGAUUAGUAUGCUGUGUAUAUUGAUGACCAAAUCCAUUAGCUCCCUGUCUCUGGAUAGAGCUUUUCAGGUUCCAGUUGAUGCAGUCUCAGAUACAAAGGAAAGGAAAGCUUCUGCUGUGAAGUUUAGUACGAAUACCAGAACACUGGUGCCAAUCCCCUCCUCGCCCCACCCUCACUAAGCCUGUCCAAGACGACAGCAGGAGGAAAAUCCGACCUCUCCAGACUGCCAAGAGGAAAGUAUCCCAAGGGUUAGAGGCAGACCUGUAGCCAGAAGGUCACUGGUUGAAAUCCCAGGCAGGGCAAUGAAAAUAAAGGGUGGUCAACUCCAUGGUCUUGGACAUUUCCAGGACCACUAGUAGAAGCAGUGGGAUGGUGGCUCAGCUGGGUUGUCCAGUCAAGAGCAACAACAGUCUGUUCAGCGAGCUUCCAAGCCCCUCUGCAGCCACCUCAAACACAUCCCUGGGCGCCUCUGAGAUCAUUGCGAAUCUGGAUUCUCCAGACUUCAUGUCAUCCAGUAGCAACACCAGCCCAAGCCCCCCAAAGGAACAGUAGUGACAACAGUCAACUAAUGGAACUGCAGAAACUGCGUUUUCUAAAUAUCUAGGC
rnacentral:lncRNA from 1 species